CUCCUGCUCAGAGCUCUGCCAGCGCACGGAGCCUUCUGGAUGGAAAGGCCUUGCCAGCUCCCUUUGCUGGAAGAGUCUGCAGUUAAUUAAAGGCUCUCCUCUGAGCACACCUGUCUGGAGUCUGGUCGCUUGGCCGCAUGGAGCACCUGCCGGGCGCUCGGGCAUCCUGGGGAUGGAAUGUGCUGGACGUGCAGCGGCAGGUCAUAGCGGGAGCUCUAGCCCAGGACGGAGAGAAAACAGCGAGUGUGAGCUGAGCCUCCGCGAUGGCUGCUGGGAGGACUAUGGUCACGACGCGGUGCUGGGAACACAAGCCCAGUGUCUGAGGACGACGCUUCUGGACAGUUCCAGUCACAGAGCAGAAGCUGGUACCAUGAGGUGAACAGAAAACCCAGAAAUGCUCAGCAAGAUCUCAGGACAAGGGUUUGUACCAAAACUAUGUGAAAGCUACCUCGACCAAGAAGUCCCUGGGCUAAUGUUCACCAGAUGGGCUGCCGCGUGCGUGGCCUUCUCUGCAGGACGCAUCGGACUCCUGCCCAGAUGGGCAGGGAGCUUCCUGAAAAUGGACAGGGUGGGGGCAAGACGGUGUGUUAUUGCCCCUAGAGCCGCCCACACGUCGAAAUGAAGAGAGGAAACCGUUCCUCUAUCUAAACUGUUUUCAGGUUGAAGGACAUUGGAUGGGAAAUCCUGAUCAGAAGAAGCUUCUGGCUACCAGUCUUCACCACCACCGCUUUGGACACAAAAUCAAAAAGACCAGCUGGAAUGGAAUGAUAUGCAUACCAGCAAUAUUUCUUACUCUCAUCACAUUUUGUGCAAAAUAAACACCUAGUAGUUUAAGAACAA